rnacentral:rRNA from 1 species
UACGUAGGGUGCGAGCGUUAAUCGGAAUUACUGGGCGUAAAGCGUGCGCAGGCGGUUCGCUAAGACCGAUGUGAAAUCCCCGGGCUUAACCUGGGAACUGCAUUGGUGACUGGCGGGCUAGAGUAUGGCAGAGGGGGGUAGAAUUCCACGUGUAGCAGUGAAAUGCGUAGAGAUGUGGAGGAACACCGAUGGCGAAGGCAGCCCCCUGGGUCAAGAUUGACGCUCAUGCACGAAAAGCGUGGGGGAGCAAACAGGG